AUGGAUCUCAAGAACACCACCACCAACACCACGUUAGUCCAGCGCUUGGGCAGCAACGAAGUUCGGCUGCUCCGCGUAGAACUUCUGGUCCUCUUCAGCACCUUGGCGUGGAUCCUCCUCGAGCGGUUCGGCUCAUUCCGCCGGCGGUACAGUCACGGCUUCUUCCGCCUCCUCAUAUGGACGGUGUACACACUAUCCACUGUGCUGGCGCCCUACACCGUCGGUCUGCUGCAGGCUGGUCCAUUCCGCGACCAGACGUUCGUCCUCUGGGGCACCAUCCUCCUCCUGAUCCAAGUACACUCUGACUCCCUCUCAGUCUACAGUAUUCAGGAUAUUGAACAGAGGAAAAAGAUGCUAGCGCAGCAAGCGUUGCAGAUCUUUCUGGUGCUAUGGCUGAUCAUCAAUGGUAGUGGUGGCAACAAGAGUUACAGAGCUACCAUAUGGAUUGUCUAUAUUCUCAGCAUCAUUCAGGCAUUCAGAAAGUUUAGGCAUCUAAGUAAGGCGAGCAAAAAGGGGGGUUUGGUGGAGCGUUCUAAAGUGAUUGCUGAUCACAUGAGAGUUGAAUUAAAAGAGGUGACCAGUGUCAAGUACAUCACCAUUGAUUCUGUUUGGCGAUGGAUUGAGUCUGGCGGCUUCGAGCACAAGGAAACUGCGGAAGGCUCGGUGAAGCUGGCCUUGGAAGACACUGCAUCUCGUUCCGGGGAUGAAGGGAGCUAUGUUGGCACUUUUCAAGUUAUUGAGGAGGAGUUGUCAUUCCUGUUUGGAAUAGUGUGGAAACUCUGCCUAGAAGUUCCGAAUGAUACUCCCACAAAUCCACAAACAAAAACUGAGACAUGGAGUCCCACAGCAGGAGAGACGUGGGAAAGAAAGCUCGGGCAGUACUCUCUGUUACUCAACUUCGACUAUGAUCCGUGGAAUGCAUUGUCUUUUCUGUCACUAGGCUUGAUCGAGGCUACGAGAAAAGGACAGAAGGCUGGGGAGAAGAUAAAACUGGCAGAUACUGUCAUCGUACACGUCCUCUCUCAGUUCAAAAACAACAACGGCAAGGUAGAAAAUGGACAAUCAGCUACAAAUCAGCUGGGAAGCCAAUUCUCAUGGGCCUGCACCUUGCCAACACAUAUCCACACGAUCCUUGUAUGGCAUAUUGCCACAACCAUCUCCUGGAACGAGGUGCCGCUGGAGGGCAACUUGGAUCGUCUUGUUGCCGUGAGCCUGUCAGAUUACUGUGCCUACCUGGUAGCUUUUGUUCCGGACAUGCUGCCUGGACAUGGCCACGACACACGGUGCACAUUCGACGCUGUGGUGCUGGAGGCUCAGCAGUGCCUUGCCGAAUGUGAAACUGUGAGCAACAGAUGUGAGAAGCUGGUGAGGGGCUUGGGCGGCAUGGGCGGCACAGGCACAAUCUUAUAUAUGGGAGCCAAGCUUGGGAGGCAACUUAGAGACAUGGUCCCCGACCAAGAGCAGCGUUGGAAGGUGUUGGCCGACUUUUGGGCAGAGUUCAUACUCUUCCUGGCGCCAUCUGACAAUACAGAGAUCCAUGGGGAGAAGCUGUCCGCUGGUGGUGAGUUCAUGACACAUCUCUGGGCGCUUCUCACUCAUGCCGGCAUCCUGGAGCGGCCCUCUUCCUCCUCUGGGAGGGAUUAA
rnacentral:rRNA from 1 species